rnacentral:lncRNA from 1 species
ACCAAAAACACUUCUUCUAGCUCUCCAGCGGCUACAAAUCCAUCCAAAAAUCUUGGAUUUCUACCUCAAAUUUUAAGGCAAACACAUUCUCUCGACAUAUCCUUGAUCAAAACUAUCUCCCUCUUGCUCUCCAUCAAAAUCUCAAGCCCUAAUCUCCAAAAUCCGAGACAAUUACUCCAAAAUCCUUUUCUUCUCCUCAUUUCUAUCCAUCUUCACCCUUCUCUAUUCUCUUGAUCGGUUCUCCUACUCUCCUUGGGACAAUGGCCCCCAAAAUGAGAUUGCCAC